rnacentral:rRNA from 1 species
UACGUAGGGUGCGAGCGUUGUCCGGAAUUAUUGGGCGUAAAGGGCUCGUAGGCGGUCUGUCGCGUCGGGAGUGAAAACUCAGGGCUUAACCCUGAGCCUGCUUCCGAUACGGGCAGACUAGAGGUAUGCAGGGGAGAACGGAAUUCCUGGUGUAGCGGUGGAAUGCGCAGAUAUCAGGAGGAACACCGGUGGCGAAGGCGGGUCUCUGGGCCGAAAUUGACGCUGAGGAGCGAAAGCGUGGGGAGCAAACAGG